AUGGAUCCCCACCAAAUGAGCAAGCCUGGGGCCUUCCUGAAAAUGUGUAAGCAGGAUCUGAGUGUUCUGCACACCAAAGAAAUGCACUUCCUGAAGGAAUGGAUGAAGAGCAUGGGGGGUAAACUACCACCUGCUAUUCAGAAAGCUAAAUCAGAAGAAAAUAUCAAGGAAGGAAAAACAGAUAGCAGGAAGGCAGAAAGAAAACAUAAAGAUAGAUGAACCAUCAAAUGAGAAAACUGAUCUAGAAAUUGAUAAUGAAGGUGUGAUUGAACAAGACACUGAUGCCCCUCAAGAAAUGGGAGAUGAAAAUGCAGAGAAAACGGAGGAGAUGAUGGAUCAGCAAAUGGUAAGAAAGUGGUUGCCACUGAAACCGUAAAUGAUGGUGAACUGUGGCUUAUUCACAGAUGCCAUUAAGCUGAAUCCUCACUUGGCCAUUCUGUGUGCCAAGAGAGCCAGUGUCUUCAUCAAAUUACAGAAGCCCAAUGCUGCCAGUCAAGACAGUGACAGAGCCAUUGAGAUAAAUCCUGAUUCAGCUCAGACUUACAAGUGGUGAGAAAACACACACAGACUUCUGGGUCUUUGGGAAGAAGCAGCCCAUGCUCUUGCCCUUGCUUGGAAAUUGGAUUAUGAUGAAGAUGCUAGUAAAAUGCUGAAAGAAGUUCAAAUCUAGGGCCUAGAAAAUUAUAGAACAUUGUAGAAAGUAUGAGUGAAAACGUGAAGAGCAAGAGAUCAACGAAAGAAUAGAAAGGGUUAAGAAGGCUCUCGAGAAAAGCAUGAGAGAUCCCAGAGGGAGGAAGAAGCCAGAAGAUGAUCCAGAGCUCAGUAUGGCUCUUUUCCAAGUGGCCUUUCUGGGAGAAUGCCUGGUAAUUUUCUCAGAGAAAUGCCUGGAAUGGGAGGGGACAUGUCUGGAAUGGCAGGAAUGCAUGGACUCAAAAUUCUUAGUGACCAGAGGUUCUCACAGCCAUGCAGGGUUCAGAAGUUAUGGUGGCCUUCCAGGAUGUGGCCCAGAACCCAGCAAAUAUGUCAAAAUGCCAGAGCAACCCAAAGGUUAAGAAUCUCAUCAGUAAAUUGUCAGCCAAAUUUGGAGGUCAAGCGUAA
rnacentral:lncRNA from 1 species